CCCACCCUGACGCAUCCUGUACUGAGCUGCCCCGAGCUGAGCACAGUGAAGGACCUCGGGGCAGCUCAGUACAGGACCCCUCAGGGAGGG
ensembl:miRNA Mir3107 microRNA 3107